rnacentral:lncRNA from 1 species
AUGGCUGUGGGAGGCGGGAGUGAAGAAGCAGCCCUGACGGACAGCCAGGUCUUGGCUUUGGCUGGCGUCCACCUGGCGGUCCUUUCCCUCAGCCUGCUGGGCAGCGGGUCCAUCCUGGGGGCGGCCGUCCGGCGGAGGCGAUGCUGCCACGACCAGUUGCGCCCCCUGUUCCUUCUCUCGCUGUCGGACUUCCUGGCGGCUCUGCCCCUGAUCUCCGCGGCAGCUGCCCACUUCCUGCCGGCCCAGGUUUUCAUCUCAGCGCGAGCCUGGUGCCCUUCUCUGCUCAGGCUUGGCAUGAUGUUCUAUGCCAUUUCCUUCCUGAUGGUCAUUGUCUAUGCCUAUGAGGUGAACCGAGCUGUUGGAGGCUGGAGAGCGGGCCCUGUGGCCGUCCUAGAGGUAGCAGGGGAGGGGGGGAGAGACCCUGCCGGCCAAAUGGGCCUCUCUCUCUCUCUUAGGGAGAGCACCAACAGCAGCAGCCGCCUCUGCAGGUGGACUUGUCGGGCAAAACUCUACCCCUCGCUGCCCUACAUCUUGGCCUGGUGGGUAUGGGGCUCCUGCACACCAGAUCUUCCAGCUGGCUGGCAGGCGGGGGGAGGUGGAGGGGGCUCCCCUCGGUUCUUGGCUGGUGGCUCAGGACGCGAGAGGGGGGCCAUCCAGUGUUGCCAGCCGUGGAUCCUCCAGCCCGCCAUUCAUCCAUCUGCACCCUGCCCUCCGCGGCUUCCCUGAAGGGAAGGGAUCUACCCCAUCCCCCACC